rnacentral:rRNA from 1 species
GACGUAGGGGGCCAGCGUUGCUCGGAAUUACUGGGCGUAAAGGGUUCGUAGGCGGUGCGGCAAGUCGGAAGUGAAAUCUCUGGGCUUAACUCAGAGGCUGCUCCCGAAACUGCCGUGCUUGAGUGCGGGAGAGGCGAGUGGAAUUGCAGGUGUAGCGGUGAAAUGCGUAGAUAUCGGGAGGAACACCUGUGGCGAAAGCGGCUCACUGGACCACAACUGACGCUGAGGCGCGAAAGCUAGGGGAGCAAACAGGG